rnacentral:rRNA from 1 species
CGUCUAUAUACGUAUAGCAUAUCAAUAAGCGGAGGAAAAGAGACUAACUAAGGAUUCCCUUAGUAACGGCGAGUGAAGCGGGAAGAGCUCAAAUUUGAAAUCUUCAAGGGUUCUACCUUUACGAAUUGUAGUUUAAAGAAGUGUUUUCUGUUGGAGUUUUCGGUAAAAGUUCUUUGGAAUAGGACAUCAUAGAGGGUGAGAAUCCCGUAUUUGACCGUUACUUUCCAGCUGUGUGAUACACUUUCAAAGAGUCGGAUUGUUUGGGAAUGCAGUCCAAAAUGGGUGGUAAAUUUCAUCUAAAGCUAAAUAUUGGCGAGAGACCGAUAGCGAACAAGUACCGUGAGGGAAAGAUGAAAAGAACUUUGAAAAGAGAGUUAAACAGUACGUGAAAUUGUCAAAAGGGAAGCGUUUGACACCAGUGUUGUUUAGUUGAAAAUCAAGUUCAAUAGUUUUUGAUUUUAAGUAGUAUUGACUUCAUCAGCUUGCUGCUUUCUUUUCAGGAAUUAUUGAAUGCACUUUUCAGUUAACAAGUCAACAUCAAUUUCUUUUGUUGUAAAAGGGUAAGAGGAAGGUGGCUUGCGCUUCGGCUCAAGUGUUUAUAGCCUUUUACCUCUGCAAUCGGAGAGAUUGAGGUCUGCAGCGUAGAUCCUUCGGGGUUAGAUACAUUUGUGCUAAGCUAUAGCCUUGUAUAGACAACUUGUUGACUAUGCUCAGUCAUGUAGCUUACUCGCUUAUGCUAUUUUACCUACGCUUAGGAUGUUGAUAUGCAUGACUGAUAU